CCCUGUAGCGCAAUGGAUGACGCGUUGGACUUCUAAUUCAAAGGCCGUGGGUUCGAAUUUCCCCGGGAAGG